GCAUUGACUCAUUUGUGUACCUGGGAGCAAAGUGAGACAUAGCAAGAUUCCACCCUAACAAUAAGGAGUAUUAUUAUCCUUAUUUUACAGAGGAGAAAAUUUGAGAUCAGGGAAGGCACACAGUUAGGAAACGUGCCUACUGACUGAUCCAGAGCUCACAUGUUGAUAUUGCCUCCAGUGAGUUAGUGGCACAGGUCUAGAAGCUGAGCUUCUCAGCAUUCCUUUCAAAGCCCUUCCCUGAGAUGAACUGAGAAUUAUGUCACCUUUUCCUAAUAUACCUCAGUGCUGGCAUUAUGAAUAUAUUAUUAAUGUAUGUUGAAGAAGCCUCUGUCAAGGAAGGUGCUGUGGAAUACAGAACAAUUGGAUGCUAGCGCCCGUAACAGCCCCAAAUUUGAUUUUCCUCAGAUGGUUCUGACUGUACUUGCUUUUUAUUCUCUUUUUUCUUUUUUUCUUUUUGGCUGCACCUGUGGCUUGCAGAAACUACCUGCCCCCCCCCAGGCCAGGGAUCAAACCUGUGGCACAGGAAUGACCCACCUCACAGCAGUGACAACACGAGAUCCUUAACCGCUAGGCCACCAGGGAACUCCUGUGCUUACUCUUUAGUUCCUAACCUCUAUUACUUCAGUUAGAGUGAAAUAUGUCUUUUAUAGCAUAACCAUCUUCUUGCAAAAUUAAUCCUCCAGUUGAAAGCUGAAGCAUCCUCUCCAUAAGUGAAUCCUUCAUCAGAGCUCACAUGGCAAUGCUGGCUGUCUGCACAGUGGCAGUGAAAGUGUCAUCGAAGGUGCAACAAACAGCUCCUGGUCAAGGGCAUCUUCACAUCUCUCCCACCCUGAGUUUACCCUUGGGCUUUUGUUGGUGGCUUCCAUAUUAUUCAUUUCCCCUUCUCUAGGUGAUGGAAGCCUGACACUAAUUAGGUAAAAAUGCUCUUUCCCCGCUUUUGACAAAUGCUUCUAGUGGACUCAACCCCAUCCUGAACUCCAAGAUAGACUCUCUCCCUUAGCAGAAAGUGUUUCAUGUACCAGCCUGUAAUACAUACUUGGGCAGAACAGCGUACUCCCCUUGCUCUCAUGAUGGAUUCGUAUGUGGGCCUUCUACCCAAGCUGGUCAAAAGCAAGUAGAUCUCCUAGUUACUGCUGAGAAAAUGAACAAAGAGACUCUCCCUUCCCUAGACAAUGUGGUGUGAGGGGGACUGUCUUGUGGCAGUGGCAGCCACUUGCCACCAUCAGGGAUACAUCUGGAGCUACCACAAGAACCCUGGAAUCUGAGGAUAAACUUGAAAAAGACAGUGAGAACCUGAGUCCAUGGAGACAUGGCUGAGCUGCCAGUCAAAACUCACUUGAGGUCAGACUUCUCUCCUGGCUUUUGAGUUAUGUGAGCCAGGCAAGCCUCUGUAUGGUCUAAGCCAGUUUUCUGCUCCUGUAACACAGAGGGCUGGGCUCUUGUCUGUGAGGACAGAACUAAUUUGUCUGUGCUUCUUUCACAUCUGCUAACACUGUGCCUUGCUCAAACUAGGUGCAAACACAGUUUUGAAAAGUAGAAGUACUUCAUUAUUCAUCAUUCAAUGCAUCCAUGAAAUCAGCCUGUGUUGUUGUGGUGCUUAUGACUCUCCUUGAUAAGCGAAUGUUUUUUAAUAGCUAGACCUGUGCACUGAUCUGACACAACAAGGCUGAAAAUAUUUAGUUUUCUAACAAACGCUGAAUGAUGCAUGUAGAAAGCACAUAAUGAAAGUGAGAUUUGUGAGUUGUAUCUUGUUAUCACACACAGGAGUGAUUUUGGUCCUCACAUCAAACAGUAUUAUGGCCUUUCAUAGAAAAAUGUGUUUUUAUUUAUUUGAUGGGUUCAUUACCUUAUAAAGAACUGUCAUAUUACGAAGAAUUUCUGGAUCUGAGAUCAAGAUGGUGGAGGAGUAGGACAUGGAGCUCACCUUCUCCCAUGAAUGCAUCAAAAAAAAAAAUCUACAGAGAGAAUGAUUAUUACAGAAUAUCUACUGAAAACUUUCAGAAGACCUCAGAAUUCUACACACAACUGGGUAGAGCAAAAGGAAAAAGAGAGAGAGAGAGCAGAGAAAAAAAUGAAUCGGGAAAGGACGAGUACUCCUAAGAGGGUGCUCGUAAAGAGGAAAGGAAUCCACACACUGGAGCCACCUAACUGGCUGGGAGAUCAGCCAGAAAAGAGCAGGAGCCUCAAAGCCUCGGAGAAAAGUGCAGCAAAAGCUCUGAGGAGGGCAAAGACCAUGAGAGAGAACUGCACAGAUCAUUGGUACUACCACCCGGGACACCACAGCCUGCGAUACUCAGGCAGGGUCUCGGUGCUAAAGCUGAGGCUUUGGAGGUCAGUUAUGGAGGUCAGCCAACUACUGUUGGCUGUGUGAAAAAGCCUGAUGGGGCUAGAGAGUGCUGUGCCACGGCAGAGGGCCUGCAGGAGGAGACCUCUGCCCACCAGAGAACGAGGUGCCAUUAUUGGGUUUUGCAAGAUGAGGAAGGGUGGGAUGGCUACGGGAACUUUUUUUUCUCUGUGCAUGCACAGGCUCUCAGGUGAUAGGGUCUAUCUUGCGUGGACUAUAGGGGUAGCUUCCAACUUCUGCAGCCAUCUUGGACUCCAGAGAUGAGCAUGGGCCACCACCAGUGAGGGUCCUGUAACCAAGAACCACCUGCCACCCUAGUCACCCUAGUGGUCACAGCCAUGGAGGCCCUGAAAUUGAGUAUCACCCAUUGUCCCCAUCUCUCUGGAAACACUCAUGCCCCACUGUUUCCACUGCCAAAGACCCUGUGAUGAGACACCGCCUGCAGUUGCCACCAAUUACCUCCACUGCCCUGGCAGCACACAUAAGCCUUGCACCUGCACACCUCUAAUCAAAACCCAAAGCAGUCCUCACACCAAAAGAAUAGUAAACCCACAAAAGUUACCCAAGAAGGCUUCUGCAUAUAAAUAGCCCUUUAGGACUACAGUAGAUAACUAUUUCUCCUAAACUCACAGUUAAGAAAAAUACAUGCAAAAUGAAGAAGUAAAGGAACCAUUCCCAGUUAAAAUAAUAGGAGAUUUUCCCCAAGGAGCAAACAAUGAAACAGAUAUCUGCGGUCUAAGAGACACCAAGUUCAAAAAGGAAAUAGUGAAAAUACUGAAGGAAUUAAUAACAGCUAUUGACAGUAAUGCAUAUUACUUUAAAAAAGAACUAGAAACUAUAUGGAGGAGCCAAGAAAAAUUAGAAAAUUCAUUUGCAGAGAUGAAACCUGAGUUAAAGCAUGGAACAGCAGAAUGAAUAAUGCAGAGGAAUGAAGUGACGUGGAAGGCAGGAUAAUGGAAAUCAUCCAAUAAAUCAGGACAGCAGACAG
rnacentral:lncRNA from 1 species